rnacentral:tRNA from 1 species
GGAAGGGUAGCGAAGAGGCUAAACGCGGCGGACUGUAAAUCCGACUCCUUCUGGUUCGGGGGUUCGAAUCCCUCCCCUUCCA